rnacentral:rRNA from 1 species
CUCAAAGCUAGCUACAGGCUUAACACAUGCAAGUCGAGGGGCAGCAUGAAGUUUGCUUGCAAACUUUGAUGGCGACCGGCGCACGGGUGAGUAACGCGUAUCCAACCUUCCCCUUAGUAGGGCAUAGCCCGGCGAAAGUCGGAUUAAUACCCUAUGUUAUCCGAAGAGGACAUCUGAAUUGGAUUAAAGAUUCAUCGCUAAGGGAUGGGGAUGCGUCUGAUUAGGUAGUAGGCGGGGUAACGGCCCACCUAGCCUACGAUCAGUAGGGGUUCUGANAGGAAGGUCCCCCACAUUGGAACUGAGACACGGUCCAAACUCCUACGGGAGGCANCAGUGAGGAAUAUUGGUCAAUGGACGAAAGUCUGAACCANCCAAGUUANCGUGCANGAUGACGGCCCUAUGGGUUGUAAACUGCUUUUAUGCGGGGAAUAAANUGAAGGACNUNUCCCUUUUUGUUAGGUNCCGCNUGAAUA